UACGGGGGGGGCAAGCGUUGUUCGGAAUUACUGGGCGUAAAGGGCUCGUAGGUGGCCAACUAAGUCAGACGUGAAAUCCCUCGGCUUAACCGGGGAACUGCGUCUGAUACUGGAUGGCUAGAGUUUGGGAGAGGGAUGCGGAAUUCCAGGUGUAGCGGUGAAAUGCGUAGAUAUCUGGAGGAACACCGGUGGCGAAGGCGGCAUCCUGGACCAACACUGGCGCUGGGGAGCGAAAGCCAGGGGAGCAAACGGG
rnacentral:rRNA from 1 species